UAAGUAGUGUGAAUUGCAGAAUUCCGUGGAUCAUCGAAUUUUUGAACGCAAAUUGCACUCUCUGGUAUUCCGGAGAGUAUGCCUGUUUGAGGGUCAUUAAAAUCAAAAUCGAUUUUGUUACUUUGGUAACGUGUCGGAAUUGGGUCAUCUUAAACCUUCAGGUUCAAGAGGCUUAAAAUUGAUCAUUUUUGGUAUGAAUUAAGCGUAUUUAAGAUCUCUUAUCACGCUCUUGAUGAGUAUCGGAUGUUUAAUAGGCGUGACCAUGAUCAUGGUAUCGCGCCCAUAAUCUUCAUGAAAUGACCUCAAAUCAGGUAGGAAUACCCGCUGAACUUAA
rnacentral:rRNA from 1 species